UUCAUUUUCUGCCUGGAAACUUGGUUCUUCUGGGUCAGAGCUUUGGAACAGCUGACAGAUUGGAAAUUCACUGGUAUGAACUUGGUCAUAAAGACUUCCCUGGAGCUAGUUUGGUAGCCGACCUGCAUGACUUUCUCUGGGUUUCAGCAAAGGGGACGUCUGACUGACAGCCCUGGUGAUGACAGCAACUACACCUUUGAGACGUCUGGGAGGUCCUAGAAAUCACCUCAAGUCUCCAGUCCAGGACACAACUGCCUAGGGGAAUCCCAGGGACAGGCGGCAGAGAUUGCAUGGCCUGCAAGGUGACGGACUCCAAAAUGUGAUCACUGCAGAAUUCACCAAAUUCCAAACCACUGGCAGUUGGAACGCACAAGCCCCCUACUGGCGAGGAGGCAAGGGAAGCAACCUGGGAGGAGGCCCAUUACUUGGAUAGAAAGAGAUGGACCACCUUCUCAGGUCUUCCGGAAGUUGCUGGAACAUGGCGAGGAAGGGAUGCCAUCACUCAAAGGUCAUAGGAUGGAAUCAAGAAACUCUUACAGUGGAACUAAGCCUGAAGUACUUCAAGCCCUGGGGCCCCACUUUUGGGUUGUACUGUUCUCUCUCUCUCUCUCUCUCUCUCUCUCUCUCUCUCUCUCUCUCUCUCUCUCUCUCUCCCUCUCUCUCUCUCUCUCUCUCUCUCUCUCUCUCUCUCUCUCUCUCUCUCCUGUAUUUCUCUUUUCUUAGUGCAGGGAACUGUACACAGGAACUGAUUUAACAGGUAUAAUUUUGGUCCCAAAUUAGCCAUGUUUUGUGAAGAUGUUACUAGAAACUUAGGACAGUCCUGCCAGAGUCACUGCAUGUCACCUGGGGAAUCCAGGGAAUGCUCAUGGAACCCUUAAGUCCCGUUAAUAAAAAAUAAUAUAAAAACCGA